rnacentral:tRNA from 1 species
AAGAAAGUGACAGAGCGGUUAUGUGAUUAGCUUGAAACUAAUUUACGGGGGUUCGACUCCUCCCUUUCUCG